rnacentral:rRNA from 1 species
ACUGCUCAGUAACACGUGGAUAACCUACCCUUAGGACUGGGAUAACCUUGGGAAACUGAGGAUAAUACCGGAUAGGCAAUUAUUCCUGUAAUGGUUUUUUGUUUAAAUGUUUUUUCGCCUAAGGAUGGGUCUGCGGCCGAUUAGGUAGUUGGUUAGGUAAUGGCUUACCAAGCCGUUGAUCGGUACGGGUUGUGAGAGCAAGAGCCCGGAGAUGGAACCUGAGACAAGGUUCCAGGCCCUACGGGGUGCAGCAGGCGCGAAACCUCCGCAAUGUGAGAAAUCGCGACGGGGGGAUCCCAAGUGCCAUUCCUAACGGGAUGGCUUUUCAUUAGUGUAAAAAGCUUUUGGAAUAAGAGCUGGGCAAGACCGGUGCCAGCCGCCGCGGUAACACCGGCAGCUCAAGUGGUAGCCGCUUUUAUUGGGCCUAAAGCGUCCGUAGCCGGUCUGAUAAGUCUCUGGUGAAAUCCCACAGCUUAACUGUGGGAAUUGCUGGAGAUACUAUCAUGACUCGAGGUCGGGAGAGGCUGGAGGUACUCCCAGGGUAGGGGUGAAAUCCUGUAAUCCUGGGAGGACCACCUGUGGCGAAGGCGUCCAGCUGGAACGAACCUGACGGUGAGGGACGAAAGCCAGGGGCGCGAACCGGAUUAGAUACCCGGGUAGUCCUGGCCGUAAACGAUGUGGACUUGGUGUUGGGAUGGCUUCGAGCUGCCCCAGUGCCGAAGGGAAGCUGUUAAGUCCACCGCCUGGGAAGUACGGCCGUAAGGCUGAAACUUAAAGGAAUUGGCGGGGGAG